GACGUAGGGCGCGAGCGUUGUCCGGAUUUAUUGGGCGUAAAGAGCUCGUAGGCGGCUUGUCGCGUCGACUGUGAAAUCCCGCGGCUCAACUGCGGGUCUGCAGUCGAUACGGGCAGGCUAGAGUUCGGUAGGGGAGACUGGAAUUCCCAGUGUAGAGGUGAAAUUCGUAGAUAUUGGGAAGAACACCAGUGGCGAAGGCGGCGAUCUGGGAAGAUACUGACGCUGAGGUGCGAAAGCGUGGGGAGCAAACAGG
rnacentral:rRNA from 1 species